GUCACAGAGCUGGGAACUCGCUCAGAGCCAGGGUCUCUGCUGGGGUCAGCGUCUGUACGCUAAAGCCAGGGCGCAAAGUGCGUGGGCACUGCGGACACUAGAGGCUUAUGGCGCUGGAAAUACAAGGCCGAGUUGCCGGCGCAAAGAGUUCCCCGGGCGGGUUGGUGAUGCGGCGCGCUUUGAUAACAGGUUAAUCCGGCCAACAUUCGCUCCGCGAGAGAGCCAUCGGAGGGCUCCGGGAGACUGCGGCGCCACGGAGGGAGAGGCGGCGAGAGGCCCCUCUGCGAGCACCCUCUGGGCGCAGUGCGGUGGGCUAUGCUCUGCGCAGCCCCGGGCGCGCCUGGGUUCUCAGAGCCCAAGACCUGAGCCGCUCCGAGCGCAGGGCGCCAGUUCUCUUUCAGAAGCGGGAGAAGUUCAGGUGCCCAACACCUUGAUCAGUGCCUGCUUUGUAGUAGGCAUUCAAAUACUGUGGACUGGAUGAAUGGAGUCACUUCCCUUCCAACCUGCACACCAACGUGGUUGAACUGCCUCCUUUCUAAGUGCCAAAGUCUGUUUUACAAGGCUGCCCUGCUGUGCCCAUCUGGGCACCCAGUCCAGCCUCCCUUCCUGGGCGCCUUGACUCCCAACUGCAGAUGAAGUGUCUGGAAAUCAUGGUACUCAAGGUAGGAUCCACAUUGCCUGCCGGCCUAGGACCAAGAUCUGCAAGUCAGAACGAAACACCAGCUGUCCCUGUCUCCUGCACCCAUCCCCAUCCCGGAUAUCAAAGGAGCAUUACAAAAUAUUGUCUAACAGAAGUACCAGGGCUGGAUCCCAAAGUUUUGUGUAGAUCUUGAUAAAGAGUUUGGAUUUUAUUCUAACAAGAGUGAAGAGCAUGACAAUGUUUGCAGAAGAGUGAUGGCUUCUUUCAGGCAACAGUGACAAUUACACCUCCUCUUUUUCUCUUUGAUCCUCCACCCUCUCCCUCCAGCACCUGGUACAAAGCUGGGUACCCAGCAGACACUCUGUAAAUUAAAGUGCUGCCAGCCUGAACAAUCUCAGUGGAAGAGCUAAGUGGGUCCAUUUCCUUGCUUUACAAAUGAAGUCGCUGAGGCUCAGAGG
rnacentral:lncRNA from 1 species